rnacentral:rRNA from 1 species
AUUGAACGCUGGCGGCAUGCUUUACACAUGCAAGUCGGACGGCAGCACAGAGAAGCUUGCUUCUUGGGUGGCGAGUGGCGAACGGGUGAGUAACAUAUCGGAACGUACCGAGCAGUGGGGGAUAACUAACCGAAAGAUUAGCUAAUACCGCAUAUAUUCUGAGGAAGAAAGCAGGGGACCAUUUGGCCUUGCGCUGUUUGAGCGGCCGAUAUCUGAUUAGCUAGUUGGUGGGGUAAAGGCCUACCAAGGCGACGAUCAGUAGCGGGUCUGAGAGGAUGAUCCGCCACACUGGGACUGAGACACGGCCCAGACUCCUACGGGAGGCAGCAGUGGGGAAUUUUGGACAAUGGGCGCAAGCCUGAUCCAGCCAUGCCGCGUGUCUGAAGAAGGCCUUCGGGUUGUAAAGGACUUUGUCAGGGAAGAAAAGGGCGGGGUAAUACCCCUGUCUGAGACGGAC